GUGCCAGAGAACAGGGGAUUCCAGCUCCAAUAGCGUAUAUUAAAGGUGUUGAGGUGAAAAAGCUCGUAGUUGAACCUUGGGCCUGGCUGGCCGGUCCGCCUCACCGCGUGCACUGGUCCGGCCGGGCCUUUCCCUCUGUGGAACCCCAUACCCUUCACUGGGCGUGGCGGGGAAACAGGACAUUUACUUUGAAAAAAUUAGAGUGCUCCAGGCAGGCCUAUGCUCGAAUACAUUAGCAUGGAAUAAUAAAAUAGGACGCGCGGUUCUAUUUUGUUGGUUUAUAGGACCGCCGUAAUGAUUAAUAGGGACAGUCGGGGGCAUCAGUAUUCAACUGUCAGAGGUGAAAUUUCUUGGAUCAGUUGAAGACUAACUACUGCGAAAGCAUUUGCCAAGGGAUGUUUUCAUUGAUCAGGAACGAAAGUUAGGGGAUCGGAGAACGAUCAGAUAACCGGCCGCAGUCUUAACCCAUAAAACUAUUGCCGACAAGGGAUUCGGAACGGGGUUAUUCCAUGGCCCCGUUUUGGCACCCUUACUAGGAACCCAAAGGGGUUGGGCCCCCAGGGGGGGGCCCCGGCCCGAAGGUGGAACCUUAAAGGAAUUAUCUCUAAAAAGCUCCACCCAAGGGGGGGCAGCCCUGGGGGUGAAAUUUUGACCCCAAAAAUGUGGAACCCCCCCCCAGGGGCCACCACCCCACGAGCGAUAACCCAAAAAUGGAAAAGCCCUUUCUUUAAAAUCUUUUUUUUGGAUUUUUAUGGGGGGACGUUAAAAGGGUGGUGGCCUAAUUUUGGGGGGUAAAAUUGGUCUACUAAAUAGGGACAUAAAACCAGAGGAACUAAUUCCCCUUUUAUAAAUUAGG
rnacentral:rRNA from 1 species